AAAUUGAAGAGUUUGAUCAUGGCUCAGAUUGAACGCUGGCGGCAGGCCUAACACAUGCAAGUCGAACGGUGACAGGAAGCAGCUUGCUGCUUCGCUGACGAGUGGCGGACGGGUGAGUAAUGUCUGGGAAACUGCCUGAUGGAGGGGGAUAACUACUGGAAACGGUAGCUAAUACCGCAUAAUGUCGCAAGACCAAAGAGGGGGACCUUCGGGCCUCUUGCCAUCGGAUGUGCCCAGAUGGGAUUAGCUUGUUGGUGGGGUAACGGCUCACCAAGGCGACGAUCCCUAGCUGGUCUGAGAGGAUGACCAGCCACACUGGAACUGAGACACGGUCCAGACUCCUACGGGAGGCAGCAGUGGGGAAUAUUGCACAAUGGGCGCAAGCCUGAUGCAGCCAUGCCGCGUGUAUGAAGAAGGCCUUCGGGUUGUAAAGUACUUUCAGCGGGGAGGAAGGGAGUAAAGUUAAUACCUUUGCUCAUUGACGUUAUCCGCAGAAGAAGCACCGGCUAACUCCGUGCCAGCAGCCGCGGUAAUACGGAGGGUGCAAGCGUUAAUCGGAAUUACUGGGCGUAAAGCGCACGCAGGCGGUUUGUUAAGUCAGAUGUGAAAUCCCCGGGCUCAACCUGGGAACUGCAUCUGAUACUGGCAAGCUUGAGUCUCGUAGAGGGGGGUAGAAUUCCAGGUGUAGCGGUGAAAUGCGUAGAGAUCUGGAGGAAUACCGGUGGCGAAGGCGGCCCCCUGGACGAAGACUGACGCUCAGGUGCGAAAGCGUGGGGAGCAAACAGGAUUAGAUACCCUGGUAGUCCACGCCGUAAACGAUGUCGACUUGGAGGUUGUGCCCUUGAGGCGUGGCUUCCGGAGCUAACGCGUUAAGUCGACCGCCUGGGGAGUACGGCCGCAAGGUUAAAACUCAAAUGAAUUGACGGGGGCCCGCACAAGCGGUGGAGCAUGUGGUUUAAUUCGAUGCAACGCGAAGAACCUUACCUGGUCUUGACAUCCACGGAAGUUUUCAGAGAUGAGAAUGUGCCUUCGGGAACCGUGAGACAGGUGCUGCAUGGCUGUCGUCAGCUCGUGUUGUGAAAUGUUGGGUUAAGUCCCGCAACGAGCGCAACCCUUAUCCUUUGUUGCCAGCGGUCCGGCCGGGAACUCAAAGGAGACUGCCAGUGAUAAACUGGAGGAAGGUGGGGACGACGUCAAGUCAUCAUGGCCCUUACGACCAGGGCUACACACGUGCUACAAUGGCGCAUACAAAGAGAAGCGACCUCGCGAGAGCAAGCGGACCUCAUAAAGUGCGUCGUAGUCCGGAUUGGAGUCUGCAACUCGACUCCAUGAAGUCGGAAUCGCUAGUAAUCGUGGAUCAGAAUGCCACGGUGAAUACGUUCCCGGGCCUUGUACACACCGCCCGUCACACCAUGGGAGUGGGUUGCAAAAGAAGUAGGUAGCUUAACCUUCGGGAGGGCGCUUACCACUUUGUGAUUCAUGACUGGGGUGAAGUCGUAACAAGGUAACCGUAGGGGAACCUGCGGUUGGAUCACCUCCUUA
rnacentral:rRNA from 1 species